UGAGCCAGGGAGAAGGGACCAAAUUGCAAGUUGGCAAUUGAGAUUUAUUGAACAUGGGUCACCCCAAAGGUGGGGUGACCAGAUUUCAGCAGGAAACACACAAGCCCUUAAGGGGGGAAGCUGGCCACAAACCCUUGAGUGAGGAGAAGCCCCUGCCCCUCACAUUUGGGUGCCUGGUCCUCCUCCCUUCCCCCUCAGUGUUCUCAGGGAGCUUGAGAGACCCACAGGACUCAAAGCCUGCCUCUGUCCUACAGGCAUGACGUUUCCAUGGGACAUCCCCGGGCAAGGGGAAGGAGGCUGAGUGCAAGAAGUCCCACCAAGGGAGCCAUCAGAAGAAGCCACACCACCUCCAAAAGGGCCAGAGAGGUGUCCCGAUCCUCGUUCUUGGCCGUGACAGUGAACGCCGGGAACGUGUCCGAGCGCUCCACCCUGGGCCGGGAGAUGGUGGUGCACAGCACCAGCUCACAGCUGCUCUGGAAGUCGAAGGAGAAGCCAUCAAAGGACAAGACACAAAAUACACCCAGGCGAAGCCCCUCACCGGCGUCGUGCUGCUCCCCCCGUAGAAGGUGACCUCCUCCCAGGUGACGAUGAAGAGCCAGCGGGCAGAGAAGGAGGCCAUGUCCCUGAAGUGCCUGCGGAUGUCCCUGGAGGCCCUGUGGAGCAGCUCUGGCUCAGUGCUCUCCCUGUAGAAGAUCUCCCCGCGGAUGCCGUUGUGCACGUCGGCCCAGAAGGGCGCCACGAAGGCGCGGCCGUCGGUCAGCGGGAAGGCCUCGGGCGUGAACUGGCUGACCAGGGCGUUGAAGGAGAUCACUCCGUUGUUGUUGACCUGCGUGGAGACCCCCACGGUGUCUGAGCAAGGCUGGUUUGGCAGAGUAGGGCAGCACAGAGAGGCUGAUUUGGCAGGGAGUGUGAACCCAAACCCUCUCUCCCCGUACACAGAGGGUGAGCAGCCUGAGCAUGAUUCGGCUUCAUCUUGUGGGCAAGAGCUGGUGCAGGAAGCCACAAAACCCUGAAAAUUCUUCAAAAUAGGGUUCUGCAGGAGAGGCACCCAUCAGAGCAGGAUGGCACCCAAAUCUACUGAGGGAAUUGCUCAGCUUUGGGGAUUACUCAGCCCUGCAGCACUGAGGGAUGUGGAUGAUGGUGCAGGUGGCUGCAUGGAAAAAACUGCAUUUGGCUCUCAUCUGUGAUAGAUCCUGGUGCUCCCCAAGAGGUGGUUUGGCAGAAUAAGUCAGCACAGAGAGGCUGGUUUGGUGGGAAGUGUGGGGAGAGAAGGUUUGGGUUCAUACACAGACAGGGUGAGCAGCCCGAGCUUGAUUCAGCUUCAUCCUACCCAUGAUGGGCAAGAGCUGGUGCAGGAAGCCCCAAAACCCUGAAAAUUCUUCAAAAUGGGGUUCUGCAGGAGAGGCACCCAUCAGAGCAGGAUGGCACCCAAAUCUACUGAGGGAUUGCUCAGCUUUGGGGAUUUCUUGGCCCUGCAGCACUGAGGGAUGUGGAUGAUGGUCACACAGGGGGCUGCAUGGAAAAAACUGCCUUUGGCUUUGUAAUCUGUGACAGAUCUUGGGGCUCCCCAAAAGCUGGGAGGUGCCACCUCAGCCUCCCCAGAGUCUGCUGAAGAUGCUCCCCAAAACAAGAUUUUUGCAAAGGACGGACAAGAAAUGGCCCUGCUGCCCUGGCUGCUGGAAUCCCCACCAGACAAGGGUUUGGAAUGGGAUUCUGCUCCCCUGUGCCACUGUGCACAAACAGCAGCUGGAGGAGGGAUGAGUCUUUGCCCUCUCUUCUGAUCCCACAGAGACCACAAAACUUGGGAUGUGGCACAGUCACGCUGACUUAAGCCCUGUCUAAGGUUUAGGUGAGCUCAGGUGACCCCUCUCAGCCCAGCCCUGGUGUCCCCUUAGCCAGGCUUUUCUGUGCCAUCACCUGGGAGCAGCAGCAGCCUGUCCUUGUCUGGGGCCCCUACAAAGCUGCUGCCCCUUUUCCCCCCUGCAGGUCCUGCAUGUUCUUGUUUCUUGUCAUGGAGCAGGAAUAAUGUCCCUUGUGUCAAGCCCUUCGCUUUGCUGUGCCAUUUAAUCACCCACAAAGAAAAUUUAUUGCCUUUUAGAUUCCUUUCCUAUGAACAUUAUCCCAUUAAAUAUACCUUUGACUUUCUUAAUCAUAAAACCUAUCAGUUCAUGAAAUCUAAGAACUUGUCAGGUAGCUGCUAAUAAAUCUUCCAAUUCCUGGUGACAGGCAGAGCAUGUUUAAAAUGCAGCCAAUAAUGGCAAGGAAAAGGAUGAAGGGAAGAUCUGCUUUCUCUACUUACAUAAAUGCUUCUGUAUGGGGCUCCAAAAAAGAUGAAUGGCACAGAGAUCUUGAUUUCAGGGGAGCUGCCAUCAUCCACUUUGGGGGUUUUGGUGUCAUUCUGCCAGUAUGGGUACAGGCUUGCCGUGGUGUGAGCUGGAAGGAGAGGGAGAAGAGUCCUCAGGGCAGGGUCUGCACGGUCCUGAUUUCAGAGAGGCCACAGAAAACAGAACCAAACCCCAACAUCAGCAGCCAGAGGGUGCUUGGAGCCAGGGCAGAGCUGUGGGACUGGCUUUAGGCCAGGCUCAGGAGGAAAAGCAUCAUCCAGGCUAGUCAGGGCACAGCAAAGUGACCACAGCUGCAGUUUUUCCUCCCUGGGGCUGUGACCAACCAACCCCCCUAAGUCUUGGCAUCACAGGAGGGCAGCAGGUCCAUGCCCUGCUCCAGGAUGGGCAGGACAGGCUGUUCCACGUGUGAGGUGCUCAGAGGGGCAAGCAGCAGCAAUUCCAGCCCCCAGAGCCACGUUCCUGGCAGUGCCCACCUUCCUCCUGCCAGGGCUCCUGCCCGGCUGACAGCCUGAGGGGUCACGGCUGCUCCCACAUUUCUCUGCAAAAUUCACUUUCCUGCUAAAAGGCACUGCCAGUGAACAUAACUGUCUCUCCCAAAAGUACUUCAGAAGAUGGUUUUGACACAUUUCAGCCUGCUGCUUUUCCACCAGCCUAAAAUCCAUCGGCUUGAGGCACAAGCAGCCACUUCAGCCCCCAGGGCACAUUUCCCUUCUUGGCCCAGCCAGACUUCUGCUGUCAUUUCAUGUCCUGCUCCUCCAGUCAGCUCCUCACAGAGCAAACGGGGACUUUUCUGGCACUGCCUCCCCCUUCUCCCCUCUUUGAUGUAGGAAAGCCUCACGACAUUCAAUCUGGGAUGACAGAGCCCCUGGGCUUGGAACAAUCCUGGCUCUGUUCACCUGGACUUUUCAUUCCCAGAACCCUGCCCUGAGCUCCUGGGGGGCCUCCAGGCUGCUCUGUGAUCCCAGGGACACACAGGGGGCUCUCCUUGAUGCCAACUCUGAGGAUGCUCCAUGCUGAGCAUUGAGGAGUCACUGACCCUUCCCAGGCUCCAAAUUUCCCUGGGAAAAGGGAGAUAAGGGGAAAUCUGGCCUAACCCACUGGCAUCCUGAUUUCCUAAGACACUGGUGUGCCCUGAGUGCCCUGCUGGACACAGGGGAGGUGACCCUGAUGGUGUCCAAGCCACAGCCCUGUUGCCACAGACAUAUCCAAAGGGCCACAGCAAAAUUCCUCCUGCCAGGCAGUAAAAUAAAUAAUUCCACAGCUGUUACACCUCUGAUGAGUUAUCACAGCCAAGGCACAGCUACAGGACAUGGAUUUUAUUCUGGUUUUAAACAGGAGGCUCAGCAGACAUUCCUCAAUUCCUCUUUAGUUCCACUCGUGCCACACUACCUGCUCAGCAGCCCUAACACAGACAUUUGCCAAACUCCUGCUUCCUCUGGAAUGCUCCAGGUGCACACACAGCCACACAAGCUACAAACACAAGCAGCCCUCAGGAUUCUCAGUCCAUCCCUCCCCAUGGCCAACACUCAGGUCACCCUGGUUCUUGUCCUUGCUCCAGCCAAGGAGCUGGGGGUGUUUCCCAAACCCUCUGAGGUGUUUUCCAAACCCUCUGGGGUGGUUCCCAAGCCCUCUGGGGUGGUUCCCAAGCCCUCUGGGGUCUCUGGGCACAGCCCAGCUGGGGAAUAUUUUCCUGCAGGGAGAUACUCACCUCGCUGCUGUGCUGUUAUCACCAAAAGGGCCACCCAGGCUCCCAGAAAUGAUCUCUUGUUCAUCCUACAGGAAGGAGACAAACCCAGCCAUGCAUCACAUUGGUAGGAAAACUCAUCCUUGAGGGGAUUCCCGAAGCUGCCUGACUGCUGCUGACAUGUGGAUGUUUCAGGUGAGGUCCCUCACCUGCCAGACAGCCCUGAAAUGCCUGGUGAUGACAGCAAAUUACUGCCAAAGCAAGCCCAGAACACCUGGAAGAGCUCAUUUCAUGUUUGGGAGCUGUGAACAGCCACAGCUGGGCUCCUUAUUCUCCUGAGCAAUUCCUGAUCUCCUUAGAGCAGGGAUGGCCACUCCUGGCUGAUCCCAGAGGGAGCAGCUCUGCUCCACAGCAGAGCUGUGAUGAGCUCUCAUGGUCCAGGGGCUUCAUCUUCAGCUAAUCCUCUGUCCUGGCUGCCACCACAGCCAUCACUCAGGGGGCUGGAUGAGCGUGGAAGGAGCACAAACAUUUACACAGCUGGGCAGCUCCUUGUACAGGAAUCAAUGAGAGACCGAGAGAGCGAAGACACAAAAUGAAAGCGAAUUCCUGUGCCAGCUCUAAUUCCUUCUGUGCCUAAUGCAAUUUGUUACUCGUUAUUAAUCCAAUAGAAAAUAUUGCUAAAACA